GGGGAACAGCGUGAAUGCCCUUCCUCUCCCGGCCUUUUCCUCCCGGCAGUUACGACAGGCCAUUAGAGGUUAUUUACAUUCAAUAGUUACACCUGACACACCUGUAAAGUCUUCUAAUUUUCAUGAAAUGUUGUCUUCAAUCCACUCUUCUGUAGAAGCAAAGGAGCAAUCUCCAGCACCCUUGUGGGAUCUCUGUUCCCUGACCAGGGAUCAAAGCCGGGCCCCUGGCAAUGAGAGUGAUGAGUCCUAACCACUGGACUGCCAGGGAAUUCCCUAUUUUCGAGGGAAACUAAUAAGGUUAACAUUACUUGGUGUCAGAAGAGGGAUCCGAAGAUGAACCCCUGAAGAAUUAAUGAUCCCUGGAAUCAUGCACGGUACCUGCUUGAUCCCCUUGUGCUCCCCACUUCCAUUUGGUUCGGCAUGUUGAACAGCAGUUGCUGAAGUGAUUGUGAUGAAAUGUGACCUUUGAAGACUGUGGCCACUGACCAAAGAAUCUGAACUACAGUAUCCAACAUUUUACAGGCUACAAAACAGAAGCUGGCCAGCAUUUAUUGCUUGUACUAACAGCUUGAGUCAGGUUUCCUAAGCCUACAGAGAAGACCUCUUACUGCUGCUAAUUUUACUAUCAGCAAAGAAAAGGGAAAUAGGAGACCGUAUGGAAUGGCUGAAUGAGAGCAUUUGUGAGAGCAGUAUGAAUUCGGAUUAUCUGAAGGAGGGCAACUUUUUCCUAAAACUAAAAAGGACUCAAUUUGCAUAGAAAUAAAGUGGGAAAAAAUGUAAUGUAGAAAAAGUUAUAAGCAGAGAUUCUGCUCUGGCCUCUCAGGAUGGCAUUGAUUUACAUAUUAAGGCAGUCACCAGGGAAAUGUUAAAAACCCUCUAGGGAAAUUUCCAAUGUGAUGGAUAGAACUUUAAUAUUAAUAUAGGAUUCAUCAUGAUAAUGUAAGUCAUAGAUCUAAGUCUCCCUUCAUCAAAUGAAUAGUCCCUUUCCAGCCUAUUAUACAGGCAGCACAUGCUUUAAAUAGUGUCAUGUGGGAGACUUGAAGUCUUUCUUUACCUGCAGUUUCUGAAGUUUUGUUCACAGGAAUAGUGACCCACCGGGUCAUCCAUCUUUAAUUACGUCAUCUAGACCAUUUGCAUUUUCCCCUUUUUAUUAAUAUUUAGUGUUCCUUAAAAUAUACUUCCAUCGUACUUUUCUUCACAAAUAGAAAAAGCAUAAUUCAACACAUACUAUUUCAUACACGCAGUGAGUAUGAAGGGAAGAUCUGAUUCUUAAUCUAUUUGUUGAUCAUUAUACAAGGAAAAAAGUGAUUUCUGGGCUGCUAUUUGAUUUAGUUAUCUAGUACAUAAUUAUCAUAAUUAUCAACCAUAUGCAUGUGUAUUGUUCAUCUUACUCUGGGUUUCCUAGUCUUCUAACACUGACACCCCACAAAAUGGUGGCUGAGUCUCUCUAGAAUCCUAUAAGACAAUGACAGUCUUUUUGGAAUGAGAAUGAUUGCAGUGUUGAUACCAAUAUAAUAAAUGCCAGUAAUAAUAAAUGUUAAGAUUCAUCUGCUGCUUUUUUCAGCAGAAAUUCGAAUAUUCAUUAGUGGAGCAUAUAAUUACCUUUUCUUACCUUAGCCCAAAAC